rnacentral:rRNA from 1 species
AUUUGGUUAAGUUAKRAAGGGCGCACGGUGGAUGCCUUGGCACUAGGAGCCGAUGAAGGACGGGACUAACACCGAUAUGCUUCGGGGAGCUGUAAGUAAGCUUUGAUCCGGAGAUUUCCGAAUGGGGRAACCCGCUGCACGUAAUGGUGCAGUAUCCAUACUUGAAUACAUAGAGUAUGGAAGGCAGACCCGGGGAACUGAAACAUCUAAGUACCCGGAGGAAGAGAAAGCAAACGCGAUUCCCUGAGUAGCGGCGAGCGAAACGGGAUU